UACGGAGGGUGCGAGCGUUUAAUCGGAAUUACUGGGCGUAAAGGGUGCGUAGGUGGUUUAUUAAGUUAGCUGUGAAAUUCCUGGGCUUAACCUGGGCAGGUCAGCUAAGACUGAUGGACUCGAGUAUGGGAGAGGGCAGUGGAAUUUCCGGUGUAGCGGUGAAAUGCGUAGAGAUCGGAAGGAACACCAGUGGCGAAGGCGGCUGCCUGGCCUAAUACUGACACUGAGGCACGAAAGCGUGGGGAGCAAACAGG
rnacentral:rRNA from 1 species